rnacentral:rRNA from 1 species
GGCAUGGUAAAAUCCAUCCUUACAGUACAUUGCAUUGUUAAAAUCGACUGGUUUACAUAAGCUAAGCAGGGUAGGGCUGGGUUAAUCCCUGGAUGGGAGACCACAUAGGACAAUGUGGUUGCUGUGGUU